UAAUGGGGCGUUCGCACGAGGUUGUCCACGCAAAAUGGAAAAACCUUGCAAACACCUAUCAGCGGAUUCGCAAAGACAUUUCGCGUAGUAUGGUGACUGGAGCAGGGUCGGAUGACAUUUUUGAACAUAGUUAGUAUGCUUAUGAGCAUAUGGCGUUCCUGCAGGACACGACGGUACCGCGGCCAACUUUGAAUUCCGCAAAUUUGGAAGCAUCGUCGCCACUCCCAUCCACAUCAACCAUGAUCCCCUCCCACCCACCGGUCCUAUCCUCAUCCGGCAUUCUGCCAAGUGCCUCAUCUCGGGGGCAUUUGGAAGAAUUGCCACCGACCCCAUCCACAUCCACCAUGCUUCCGGAAUGGCAAUUAAAUCCGCGAAAGCGGAAGCAAAAUAGUCGUUCCCUCCAAAUUGCGGAAUGUUUGGAAACGGUAAAGCAAAUUUGUAAAACAUCGUCUGCUCGUCGUACGGUCACCAAGGCCAGAGCUCUGGGUGAUUUUGUGGAGGCACAAGUUGCCACUUUUGAACAAAGUGACCCAGAGUUUUGUGCCAAGUUGAUUCAGGCGGUGACCAAUACGAUGAACGAGCAGGUUACAAAUUAUUAUGCCUCUCAAACCCGUGACCAUGAUUACCUGUAAUUCCUAUCCUCUCCUAUCCUCUCCUAUCCUUGUCUAUGCUGUCAUACCUAUCCUAUCCUUGUUCGUCGUCUUUCUCCUUUGGCUUUUCAACCUCACGAGUUCUUGGACUGCCAUUUCUGGCUAUCUUGACUUAUUUUGGCAGCAGCUGGAUAAUCCGUUUUGCGUAAGGAAAGACGGUCCAGUUGGAAUUUGUAUGUCCGGUUCUGCUUUGUGGAGGCUGGUGCCACUAACGCCACGAUCACCGAACCGAUCGAGACUUCUGCAGGAUGCCAAGACCGCGAGGCGGUUGUAUCGCCUGAUAAGU